rnacentral:rRNA from 1 species
AGUGAACGCUGGCGGUAGGCCUAACACAUGCCAGUCGAACGGCAGCACAGUAAGAGCUUGCUCUUACGGGUGGCGAGUGGCGGACGGGUGAGGAAUACAUCGGAAUCUACUUUUUCGUGGGGGAUAACGUAGGGAAACUUACGCUAAUACCGCAUACGGCCUACGGGUGAAAGCAGGGGAUCUUCGGACCUUGCGCGAUUGAAUGAGCCGAUGUCGGAUUAGCUAGUUGGCGGGGUAAAGGCCCACCAAGGCGACGAUCCGUAGCUGGUCUGAGAGGAUGAUCAGCCACACUGGAACUGAGACACGGUCCAGACUCCUACGGGAGGCAGCAGUGGGGAAUAUUGGACAAUGGGCGCAAGCCGGAUCCAGCCAUACCGCGUGGGUGAAGAAGGCCUUCGGGUUGUAAAGCCCUUUUGUUGGGAAAGAAAAGCAGCAGGUUAAUACCCCGCUGUUCUGACGGUACCCAAAGAAUAAGCACCGGCUAACUUCGUG